rnacentral:rRNA from 1 species
GACGGAGGGGGCAAGCGUUGUUCGGAAUUAUUGGGCGUAAAGGGCGCGUAGGCGGAUUGGUCAGUCUGACGUGAAAUCUCCACCACUCAACGGGGAGAGGUCGUUGGAUACUGCCGAUCUGGAGUUUGGUAGAGGGUCGUGGAAUUCCAGGUGUAGCGGUGGAAUGCGUAGAUAUCUGGAAGAACACCGGUGGCGAAGGCGGCGACCUGGGCCAAAACUGACGCUGAUGCGCGAAAGCUAGGGGAGCAAACGGG